ACGUAGGGGGCAAGCGUUAUCCGGAUUUACUGGGUGUAAAGGGAGUGUAGGUGGCUGCGCAAGUCAGGAGUGAAAGCCCGGGGCUCAACCCCGGGACUGCUCUUGAAACUGCGCGGCUUGAGUGCAGGAGGGGCAGGCGGAAUUCCUAGUGUAGCGGUGAAAUGCGUAGAUAUUAGGAGGAACACCGGUGGCGAAGGCGGCCUGCUGGACUGUAACUGACACUGAGGCUCGAAAGCGUGGGGAGCAAACAG
rnacentral:rRNA from 1 species